UCUGCCCCAUAGUCUGGGAUACCACUUGGGAAACAGGUGCUAAUACCGGAUAAGAAAGCAGAUCGCAUGAUCAGCUUUUAAAAGGCGGCGUAAGCUGUCGCUAUGGGAUGGCCCCGCGGUGCAUUAGCUAGUUGGUAAGUAAGGCUUACAAGGCGAUGAUGCAUAGCCGAGUUGAGAGACUGAUCGGGCCACAUUGGGGACUGAGACACGGGGCCCAAACUCCUACGGGGGGAGGGGCAGCAGUAGGGGAAUCUUCCACAAUGGACGCAAGUCUGAUGGAGCAACGCCGCGUGAGUGAAGAAGGUUUUCGGAUCGUAAAGCUCUGUUGUUGGUGAAGAAGGAUAGAGGUAGUAACUGGCCUUUAUUUGACGGUAAUCAGCCAGAAAGUCACGGCUAACUACGUGCCAGCAGCCGCGGUAAU
rnacentral:rRNA from 1 species